rnacentral:lncRNA from 1 species
UGCAGCCCACAUGAACAGAACAAACACCCUUCAACAUUUUGUGUGCAACUGCAACUCUAACACCUCUUCCUCCCCCUAUUCAAAUUCAUUCCUUUUUAGUUUCAAAACACAAAUCAUUAUAGAAAUGGACACUACAAAAUCAGUAGUACAUGUUUUUGUUGCACAUUACCAUGAAAGUGGUGGUAGAGAAUUUGACAGGAACACUAUUCUAUGUCCAAGUGGCGAAUGAUGCUACGGUUCAAGAUCUAAAAUUGGAAAUUGAGGCUCAGCUGAAACUCCCUUGUGACCGUCUGAUCCUUAUUCUUGAUGUUGAUCAAUGGCCUUUGAUGACAAAAGAAGCAGAAAAGGCAUCACUCAUUGAUUGUGGAAUACAAGAUGGGUCCCACAUUUAUAUUUUCUUCCAUCCUAUUGACGAUGAGUCUACCAAUCAUUUUGUGUUUACUCUGCCUGAUUUUUUUAUCGGCUAGAAACCCCUCUUUCAUUCGGACUUCGAUUUAAUGCACCACGAAAUGCACACAUUUAUACUGGGGUAAAUGAUUUCGAUUAAACAAUAACAAAAUCUGUUUUAUAUGAUCUUUGACAUUGAUUUAUAUCGUACUAUCUAAAUUGUAAAUUGUUCGACAAAUACAACAAAUCAUUAUAGGUAAUUUUUUAGUACUGUAUUUUUAUAUUUUAGAUAGUUUAAAUCAUGAUUCCUUUCAACGUAACUUCGAGAAAUCCAUGGUUUGGUUGUAUUGUGCCAAUUUAUAUUGGAUUGGAUUGAAAAGCAUUCCCACAAAAUUAUUAAUUAUAUCUUGUUAUGUUCUUUUAGAAUGUUGACG